CCCCAGCGUGGUACGUCCCAAGCCUUUAUAAAUGGCCACUUCCCAGUUGCGCGCCUUUUCGUCCUGCGUUCCUGGAGGCGGGCCUGCCAUGGCGGCGGACACCGGCACCCCAGCGGGGCGGGAACUGCGCUAGGGCCGCUGAAAGGCUUCCCCGAUUCACCUCUGGAGUCAAGCUGGGAAAGCCCUUUCCAGGUGUUGUUGACACCCCAUACAGCUAUCAAGAUUAAAGAACAAGCAUCGUGGAUACAUUAUACCAGAUUGAAGAAAGCCCCUAAAACCCAGUGACGAUCAACACCUACUGGACCCUUGAAGCUCCGUGUUCAAAAGAGGAGUUAGGAUGAGGACUAAGAGCCCUGUAAUAUUGCUCCUUUUCAGUGCCUGUGUAAUAGCAUGGAGGGAUAAUGUGUUUCUGCAACAAACUGGGAAGAUAGCUUGUGCACUAAAUUUAACAGAUUGUUGGGUAUGUACAGCUCUUCCCAGAAGAGGAAAUUCAGGGCCACCCUUGUUUGGAGUAGUAUCUAAGAAUUCAACUGUGAAUGCUUGGACUACGAAAAAUUGCACUUUUGGGUAAGACAGGGAUAAAAGGACAGGGUCUAAAUUUGAUUUGCAGAUAUGGGAUCAAGCAAACACAAUAUACAGAAGAAAUAGCACAGGAGGACAGAUCACUGGAGACUUUAAAUGUGACCAUUAAGGAUAUCCAAGAGAAAAGUACAGCAUCUGCAAGAAGGAGCCAUCUGGGUGGAGCCGGUUUUGCAGUUACUGGCUGAGGUAACUCAGCAUUCUGGGACAAAGGUGAAGAGGCCAUGGUGAAGAAGACCACAAGCCUUCCUCCAAAAGACCUCAUCCCCUGACCACCGGAUGGCAGUAUGCAUGCGCAGAAAGAUGUCUUGAAGUAAAGAAGCCUGGUCUUCCCAGAUAAAUGCGACGCAAUUUGUACUAGAAUUGGGUUGCUCUUUGGAAAUGGCCUGAAUGUGAAGCUCUUCACCAGUCCUGUGGAAGGCAGUGAGACAGCAAGAGCAGGAGCUUCUUCUGGAUAAUCUUGAAAUGGUCAGCCAGCGUUCCUGUGAAGCCAUAUUACCACUUCAUUGCAGAUGAAGAAACUGGAGAUCAGAGCCUUGCUGGGGUGGGUGAGAAAAGGGAAGGCCAAUUUAGUCGUUGGAUAAAGCAAUUUUACUUAACUGUGUCAAAUCAGAUAUUUAAUACCUUCAACCACAGCGGUAAAUAAUAAAAUCUUUGUGCUGAGUGCUCCUUGGGAUGUGAAAUGCAUAGAAUACCUGCUGUGAAGAUGAUGAGAAUUGUUUCAAAGCAAGGUGCAAACUGGGAGCUUUGAAAUGCACGGUGAUUUCAGAAGGUGAUGGGAAAACGCUGUAGCAAGGUAUGUGCACUUUGAAUUUGAUUUAAUAUGUAUCCAGUCAUCUUGCUAAAUGUCCUGUACGCUUGUGCACCGGGGGAGGAAGAUGCUCUGUUUGCAGGAGGCAGUAUAGAGCUUUUGUGUCAGUGCCAGGCUGUUUGGUAGUCCAAAAUGGGAGACCACAUCAAGGAGAGAAUAUUUCAAAGCUACUGCUUUUAAGCUACAAAAAGGUCUUUGCAGAUGACAGCAACUCUGUGUCACUUGGCAGCAUAUCAGCAGCUCAGCGGCUAAAGCUGAAGAAAAAGAAGGGUUUUGGGGAGGAGAGCAGGACUGAGGUACCAGUGGUUGAUGCCAAAAUUGUUUGAAGAACUGAUGUGAUACCUGAAGCUGGUCACACGCGUGAAGGGACAGCUCUGCGCUGACAGCUGCCCCUGCUCUCAGUGGCUGUUGGUAAAGUUCAGCCCAUUUGGGGGGUUGGUUUCUCCAGUGGUUGUGUGAAAACUUGUUCGUUUGUGUCAUGGGAGAGAGUUUCUGGUUCAGAGGGAGGUGGAGGGGGCUGCCCUGCUUCAGGGAAACUCCUCUUGUCAAGCUAGCAGUGGGUUACGAUGCUGGGGUUUGCAGAUGGGAUGCUGCAAAAUACAUGUGAAGUACACAGAGGAAACUUGAGAUUGUUGAAGUUAGAGGAAACAGAUAAAAAGAAAGUAGGAAGUGGCAGUAAAGUUACAGUGUACUUGGGGAAACUUUUUCCCUCCUUAGCACCUCUGGAGAGCAUGUUCAGGAGCCUGGUCACUUUGCCGAUUUUUGGUCAGUUCAGAGAGGGUAUUUGUGCAUAACUAACUACAAAAUAAGAUCUAAACUGUCAGAUAUAGCAGAAACUUUUUACCAAAUCCUGUAGGUUUAUCUUUCACAGGCAGGUCUUAAAGGCAUUCAAAUUGCAUCCAAUGAGCCUGGCAAUUCCCCUCAUUCCCCCCUACAGCCCCUGAAAAUCUGAUCACCUGUUAAGCAGAAAGGUCUGCAGGUCCUUGCAAGAAGGGGUGGCCCAAUCUGUGUUGAACAAUGUUAGAGCUUGAAUAAUCUCAUUUAAAAGCCUUGAGGCUGCUUGCAGAUUGAUGCAGGGCGUGGCUUGAACGAGGUCAGGACAUUUGCUCACCCUUAUUGAUUAAAUAGCUGGCGCUCGUUGGGAGCCCCAGGUGAGGCUGUUUACCUCCAUUUAACUUUAAACAUCCAACCCCAUUUAAUAUUCCCCCAGAUAGCUCAGGUACAGGGCAAGGAUUGUUGGGGAUUUUUUUUUGUUGUGGGUUUUUUUUUUAAACUUUCUUUCUUCCCUUAGCAGAAUCUAGUACUUCAUGAAAAUAAGGCUGUUUAUCUGAUUUCUUCUGCCUCUUGACACUCUGUGGGCAGCAAUCUCCAAGGAUAAGACAGCAAACUUCUGGGCAGUGCUAGGUGGUUUUGAGGAGAGAAGGCUGCAUUUCUGAUCAAUGAUUAAGCAAGAAGCCUUUGGAGUUGCAGACUGGCAGGCAGAAGGUCAUAGUUGCAAGAGGAAGAAGAGGUGGUACCGACAUCCAUUAGAAGAGGAAACUAAAGCAGGUAUUGGCAAUUACUUGACUUGCUUGGCUCUUAUCAUCAGAGAAUGCUGGUCUAAUCCCUUUUGUGUGAGAUGUGCUGAAUUUGUGUGAGACUAACUUUUAAAUGAGGCUUGCUUGGCACAUGUGGAGUUGGAGCAGACUUUGCCUGUCAGUGUAACCCCAUCAGAGUCACCUUCUCCAUGGGAAAAGUGUAUCCUGCAAACAUCUUCCAUAUGUCCUGCUGGUUUCUCCUCUAUUAAACCAGCUGCAGCUGAAGCACUCUUGCAAGAGUUGAUUUUCCUCACAAUAACCAGAGUAUUGACACCAGUUUUGUUACGGCCUUGCUCACAGCCUUCAAAAUCACUCCCCAGCUGUUGAGUUACGUUUUAGGUGGAAAAGGCCCGAUUUUGUAUAUGACCUGACUCGUGAUUUUGGAAUGAGAGGCCUUGGGGUGUACAUAGGGUUGGUGGCUCUCCUCUGGACCUGUCUGCUCAGGAAAAUGGCAGCCUAGCAUUCCUAAAUUUUAGAUACUGGGUUUUCCACUGAGAUUUUGAUGUAGCUUCGCCCUGGGCAGCUCACCACACCCAGGAACAGCAGUGUCUGCUCAGGAGGGCACUCACUAGACGUCUUCCAUGACAAGCAUAGAAAUCCUUCUCUGCCCCUACGAAGCACUCUUCACUCUCCCCUUGCAUCACAUUUUCUAAUAAAUACUUACAAUGACAAUAGAAGUCAGCUAACCUGC